UGGGGAAUUUUGGACAAUGGGCGCAAGCCUGAUCCAGCAAUGCCGCGUGCAGGAUGAAGGCCUUCGGGUUGUAAACUGCUUUUGUACGGAACGAAAAAGCUCUCUCUAAUACAGGGGGUGAAUGACGGUACCGUAAGAAUAAGCACCGGCUAACUUCGUGCCAGCAGCCGCGGUAAUACGAAGGGAGCUAGCGUUGUUCGGAAUCACUGGGCGUAAAGCGCACGUAGGCGGACUUUCAAGUCAGGGGUGAAAUCCCGGGGCUCAACCUCGGAACUGCGUUUGAUACUGUUUGUCUCGAGUCAGGAGGAGGAGAUGGGAAUUCCUAGUGUAGAGGUGAAAUUCGUAGAUAUUAGGAAGAACACCGGUGGCGAAGGCGGCUCACUGGUCCGGUACUGACGCUGAGGUGCGAAAGCGUGG
rnacentral:rRNA from 1 species